AUGGGUAAUGUGUUUCCAGGUAUCUUGUAUUGUGAUUUAGCUUUUUUUUUUUUUUUUUCGGUUUUUUUUUUUUUGUUUUUUUUUUUUUUUUUUUUUUUUUUUUUUUUUUUUUUUUUUAUUUCUCUUCACAGUAUUUUCCCAUCAGAGCACCAUCCAGUAACAUCUCACCACAAAGAGGGGCAGAGCUGCCUCCUGCCUAGAAGCAGAAGCAUUCUGAUUUUCUCACCGUGUCUCAGCACUGGCUGUUUACAGCGUGUGCUACUUGCUUGCAGAGGGCUUGUGGGGCUGCGCUCCCAUGGAAGAAGACCCACAGAUGAAAGCAAAUCCUUUCUUAUGGCGUAAUGGCUGGUGGUGAUGAGAAGCCGUUCUCAGGUCUUCGGUGCUACAAGGGCAUAGGUGGAGCACUGCAGUACAAACAACACAUGAACACAACUGUAUUUUCAUGAAGGACCCUGUCUGGUGUUACCGUAGGACAGCAGGAUUGCUUCCACUGUUCAAACUGACUGUAGUUUUGAGGACGAGGGUGCAGUGACAGGCUCCUAGCUGGAAAGAGUAACGCUGCUGUCCUUCCCAGAGUUGUGCAUGUUUUUAAGUUUUGUUGUUAAUUGGUGCUUUUUGCCAACAGGCAUACUUUAAUAACAGCUCGAACAAACAAAUAAAUAAAUAAAACAGUAUCUUGUGCUUUGUUAGCGUCUUUCGUCCAGAGUCUUAGAAGCGUUUUGCCAAGCCAAGUGUUACUAUUUCCUGCGAGUCACAGCAGUCCCCAGAGCCUGACUCUGCUUCCUUUUAUAUCAAUAGGAGCAGGGCCAGCCCUCAAGGACUUGCCUGGUGUAACACAGUGAGCCGACGACAGACUGAGCAAACAUAACUCAG
rnacentral:lncRNA from 1 species